GGGACGGUAGCUUAGCCUGGGAAAGCACACGACUGAAGAUCGUGUUACCGGGGGUUCAAAUCCCCCUCGUCCCA
rnacentral:tRNA from 1 species